rnacentral:misc_RNA from 1 species
CGACCCCAGGUCAGGCGGGACCACCCGCUGAGUUUAAGCAUAUCAAUAAGCGGAGGAC